rnacentral:rRNA from 1 species
AGUGGGGAAUAUUGCACAAUGGGCGAAAGCCUGAUGCAGCAACGCCGCGUGAGCGAUGAAGGCCUUCGGGUCGUAAAGCUCUGUCCUCAAGGAAGAUAAUGACGGUACUUGAGGAGGAAGCCCCGGCUAACUACGUGCCAGCAGCCGCGGUAAUACGUAGGGGGCUAGCGUUAUCCGGAAUUACUGGGCGUAAAGGGUGCGUAGGCGGUCUUUCAAGCCAGAAGUGAAAGGCUACGGCUCAACCGUAGUAAGCUUUUGGAACUGUAGGACUUGAGUGCAGGAGAGGAGAGUGGAAUUCCUAGUGUAGCGGUGAAAUGCGUAGAUAUUAGGAGGAACACCAGUAGCGAAGGCGGCUCUCUGGACUGUAACUGACGCUGAGGCACGAAAGCGUGGGGAGCGAACAGGAUUAGAUACCC